UCCCUGGUAGCUUAGUUGGUAAAGAAUCUGCCUGCAGUGCAGGAGACCCAGGUUCAAUCCCUGGGACGGGAA
rnacentral:tRNA from 1 species